rnacentral:rRNA from 1 species
GACGUAGGGUGCAAGCGUUGUCCGGAUUUACUGGGCGUAAAGAGCGCGUAGGCGGUCUGUUAAGUGUAGAGUGAAAUCUCCGGGCUCAACCCGGAAACUGCCAUUGAUACUAUUAGUCUUGAAUGUUGUUGAGGUGGGCGGAACGGGUCAUGUAGCGGUGAAAUGCAUAGAUAUGACCCGGAACACCGAUUGCGAAGGCAGCCCACUAAGCAAUGAUUGACGCUGAGGCACGAAAGCGUGGGGAUCAAACAGG